UACGUAGGGUGCGAGCGUUGUUCGGAAUUACUGGGCGUAAGGGCGCGUAGGCGGCCGCCUAAGUCAGACGUGAAAUCCCUCGGCUCAACCGGGGAACUGCGUCUGAUACUGGGUGGCUUGAAUCCGGGAGAGGGAUGCGGAAUUCCAGGUGUAGCGGUGAAAUGCGUAGAUAUCUGGAGGAACACCGGUGGCGAAGGCGGCAUCCUGGACCGGCAUUGACGCUGAGGCGCGAAAGCCAGGGGAGCAAACGGG
rnacentral:rRNA from 1 species